UACGUAGGGCGCAAGCGUUGUCCGGAAUUAUUGGGCGUAAAGAGCUCGUAGGCGGCUUGUCACGUCGGUUGUGAAAGCCCGGGGCUUAACCCCGGGUCUGCAGUCGAUACGGGCAGGCUAGAGUGUGGUAGGGGAGAUCGGAAUCCUGGUGUAGCGGUGAAAUGCGCAGAUAUCAGGAGGAACACCGGUGGCGAAGGCGGAUCUCUGGGCCAUUACUGACGCUGAGGAGCGAAAGCGUGGGGAGCAAACAGG
rnacentral:rRNA from 1 species